rnacentral:lncRNA from 1 species
CCCAAUCCUUGCCACCCAGAUUUCCAUGUGACAGACUGUGCCCACCCCUGCCCUGAGCCCUGGGUCUGAGAAGGUCAGGAAGGUCCUGGGGUGUGCUGAGUCUGGAGGGCACAGUCUCCUUUUCUAGUGCCCUCAGUCCCCUUUCCCCUUCGGGAGGCUUGGAUGCACCCUGCCCAGAGCUCGGCUGCAGAGGCAGGAAGGGCAGGCCUCAGUUUCCCACCUGCUGGGGACUGUCUGAAAGUACCCAUCAUGCGCUUUCAACUUGUAGGGUGGAGUUGUCCUCUGCACGCAGCCAUGGUCCUGGGAAGCUGUGGGGACUGGAGAUCAAGUGGUGACUGGCCAACCAGGAAGGCCUCGAGGUACCAGGGACUCAGGCCUGUUGCCUUGGUGACCCUGCUGUACCAGUGCCAGGCCUGGCUUCCGUGUCUCCACCUGGGGAAUGGACCAUGUCACCGCUUGGGAAUUCUAUUCCUCUCAGAAGCCUCCAUGUCUGGCCCUUGCAGUGAGAAGCCCUGGCCCGAUAUGGAGGACAAGAAACCCUUUCUCAGACCUCCCCAGAACCCUGCUACAUCUCCUGCCACAAGCUGUAAAGGGGGCAUCCGUGACAGACGCUGGGGACCCCAGCUCUCCCUGGGCAUUGGCACCGACCCUACGUGCUCCAGUGCGUCUGACUGCCUUGGCUUCUCUCAGCCCAGUGGUGUGCCCGCCCACUGGGGUUGCAUGAUUUCCUUCCUGUGCAAGAUCCCGUUUGCAUCACCACACAGGCAGGCGGGGCCGGUGCCAGCAGGUCCUCAGAUGCCCCGAGCCCCCUGUGCCCGACUCAUGAGUGGAUAUGGGACGCAGCCUGGCUUUGCUGACUGUCUGGGACACUCUGUCCUCAGGGCCCCACAUACCUGGCACAGGCAUUGGUGGGUCGUGAACUCCUGGGAGUGAGCAGCAGAGGGCAUCUGGCAGAGAUGGGAGCCCACCCUGGGACAGCUGUCUGUUGCGCGUGUAGCCCCUGUUCCAGGGGGGGUUGAGGAUGGUGAGGAGCAAGGCUGUGGACACCUGGGGUGUCCCUGGGGGAAGGAGCUCCAUGGGGACAUUGGGUUGGGGCAGGGCUGG